UACGUAGGCAGCGAGCGUUGUUCGGAGUUACUGGGCGUAAAGGGUGUGUAGGCGGUUAUCUAAGUUUGGUGUGAAAUCUCCCGGCUCAACUGGGAGGGGUCAUUCGAUACUGGCGGGCUCGAGGCCGGUAGGGGGAAGCGGAAUUCCCGGUGUAGUGGUGGAAUGCGUAGAUAUCGGGAGGAACACCAGUGGCGAAGGCGGCUUCCUGGACCGGUUCUGACACUGAGGAGC
rnacentral:rRNA from 1 species